GCCCCCGUAGUCUACCGGACAGGACGGUGGCCCGCGAAGCCACAGGAGGCGGUUCAAUUCCGCUCGGGGGCG
rnacentral:tRNA from 1 species